GGUUGUGUAAUAAGUUCUAAGUAAAAUUUUAUAUAUAUGAUAAUAUACUUUUAAUACUAUUACGCUAGAGUUUAUUAGGAGUUAACGGAACCUCUAUAAUCAGAGUUGAAAUGCGUUAAAGAUAGAGAGAACUCCAAUGGCGAAAGCAGUUAACUAUAGUAGACUGACACUGAGGCACGAAGGCAUGGGAAUCGAAGAGGAUUAGGUACCCUCGUAGUCUAUGCUGUCAACGAUGAAUGUUAAAGGGUAGUGUUAACUAUUCUUACAGCUAACGCGUUAAACAUUCCGCCUGGGAACUACGAUCGCAAGAUUAAAACCUAAAGAAAUUGACGGAGAUCUGCUACAAGCAGUGGAGCAUGUGAUUUAAUUCGAUACACCGCGAGAAAUCUUACCAAUCCUUGUCAUAUUAGAUAUAGAUAGUAGAUAUUGUAGUAAUAUACAAUAAAUGAUUUCUAUCUCUCAUAAAGCAUAAAACAGGACGAUAGUUUCAUAGCAUUGUCUAUAUAUAUAUAAUAUCUAAUACAGGUGUUGCAUGGCUGUCGUAAGUUCGUGUUGUGAGGCGUUAGGUUAAUUCCCAUGAACGAACGAGACCCUCAUUUAUAUUUAAGUUACGCACUAACAAAAAAACUAUAAAAUUAGGGGAUGACGUCAAGUCAUUAUGGCCUUAAUGGGUGGGGCUUAUCCAA
rnacentral:rRNA from 1 species